rnacentral:lncRNA from 1 species
GUGGAAUUGCUUCGGUUUAGAAGGAACUCAUGCAUGAUAACCAAAGCGAAAACACAGACUUACUCCUUGUUGGUUUCCAGGUUCCCUGGACCUGAGCCACGCAUGAAGAAGGGGUUGGUCCCUCAGGAAGGAAGGAUGAUCGGAGGUGCCGUGGAGCCGCCAUGUUUGAUGAGGCUGGGAGUGGCCGAGGUUUGGAAAUAUUUUUCUGCCUAAAGCUCUGCGAUUGCAUAGGUUUUCUUAGCCCUGCGGAAUUCCUCUAACUGCCUGGGGAUUUCUAGGUUUCUAAGAAGCUUGAGGUGGUUGUUAACCUAAUACCCAGUUGAAGGGAGCCAAGACAGGCUUUCCAUGCCAGCUGUGUAGUAGGCUGUCUUCUUAAAAGGCUCUUUAAAAUCAGGCGCGUAAGGGAAUCCUUCUUUCCUGAACUAGGGCGUCUGAAACUGGGUCAAUGGUUCUCAUCCCCAUCUUCCAGUUUGCUUUGCCGAAGCACAGUGUAAGCAAAUAAAUAUCAAUGAAUUGCUUAAUGAUUUUCAUAAGGUCCCAUAUUUUCAAGGCAAGGGGCUCUCCUGAAAUGUUUGAUCUACUCCGUAUGAAUCUGUUUUCCAAAUGGCCAGCACAUGUUGAGGCCUGCUGCCCUCCGGGUUACAGGAAGAUGCCUUUGAUGGGUUAACCGCAGAGCAAGUGAGCUCUUUUUAAGUCCUUUUCAAAAGUUCCUUUGUCCUGCUGUGGAUCUUGCCACUUGCAUUGGAUCAGCGGGAGACCGCUCCUGGCAAAGGGUUCUAGUACAUUCUCCCUCUGAUCCGGGUUGGGUCCCUGGGUAAUGCCAUCUGUAAUCUGGAGUCCCAAAGGUUGGAGUUUAAGCCCGAGGCAGCUGGGAAACAAUUACUGAGCUCUAGGUGGGCCACACACUUUUCCAGCACUGUCCACCCAAGUGUGAGGCCGGAAUGAAUUUCCUUAAAGCCAAAUGAAGUCACCAUCAUUCUCAACCAUCUUGGGGGAAGGCUGGUCUUGCUAUUAACGAAACUUCUUGGCAGCCGCCUGAUUCUGCCCUCAGCGGGAUAUUACUACGUUCGAAGCGGCCCUCCGUGUUCUAUGGGCUUGUCCGUUCUUUUCCCGGCCUGGGCGGAAAUGCAUAGACCAUACCUUUCUCGACCCCUCGCGCACGCCUAGUCAAAGGGUGAUUCGGUUUGGCUUAUUUCUACAGAUUCUGAGACACAUUCCGGUCACAGCAUAAUGAAUGGACACACAGGGCUAUCAUCUAGUUGGGUGGCCAUAUUGGAGAAAUUAAGGGCGAAGAAAAAGGCAAUCCGGGUCCCUGCCGGCACGUGGGUGCAGUUCCUUGGGGACACAGCAAUCGUUGAGGACCAAGAUAUUACGUUUUAGUUGUUCUAUAAAAACCAAACGUGUUGUGAGCAACGCUGAACUUUGAAUCCAAAAGUGUCGUAACUACUUAUAAAAACAGAGCAAAAUGUAUCAGAGAAUAAGAUUUAAGAAAAGAGGAACAUCUUUUCCUCUUUGUUCUGUUCUGAGUGUUUUUUUUAAUCGUAAAUAUUACCAUUAUUAGGUACUCCUUCACCCUAGAUUGACUAUAUACUUCCGAGAUAACCUUUAUUUUGUCUUGCCAGCUGUGAUCCUGGGUAUUCAUUCAAAAGCAACAACUCCUUACUUCUCCAUACUGCUGGUAGCUUUGGUUCCAUCCGGUCAACAUUUAUCAGGUGGUGACUUGGGCAGGCCCGGUAGUAUCUCGGCCUUUAAAAGCAGAUGAUGUUUCUUUUGCAUGCUGUCUCUCUCUCUCUGUCUGCCUCUAUCUCUGUCUCUCUCUCUCCUGAUACUAAUUUAGGUCCAGUGAUGGCCGAAGCUCUUUUUCUCAGGCUGCUGGCACUUUGUUCUCUUCGAGAGUUAUUUCCUUCUCAGGCAAGAGAGUCUUGCUAAUUUCAGACAAGCCUUCAAACUACAUUUUCUGUCUGGACUAAUGGAAUUACGGUCCACACAGCCACCUAGCCCAGAAAUCUGGGAGUCUCUUCUUUCCAACUGUCUUCCCACAUCCAAUCAACCACCAGCUUCUGUUGGGCUCCUGUCUUGCAAAAAUCCUCAUUGCAGAAGUCUGUCCUCCCCCACUCCCACUGUGGACUCUUGCCCCACCUUCCACACUGUGCCUCUUACCUGGGUUUGCCUCCAAAUGACCUGCUGAUUAUUCUCUUUGUCUCCAUCCUCUGUCCUUUCCUCAUCCGUUCUUGUCCUUUCUCGGGCAAAGGUUACGUUGUUCUUGCCCGAAUUACAAUGCAAUAACCACGAAAUCAUGCAGCUAUGAGUCAAACUCAUUGGCAAAGCUUUUUUUUUUUUUUUCAUUAAGAUUAGGUCUAGAAUUUUACUGAAUGUUUUCCAUUAUCUAUUGUCGUAUGUCCAUGAGAUAAAUUAUAUGACUGAUUUUUGAAUGUUAAACAAUCCUUGCAUGCCAUAUAAAAUAUAUUUUAUAUGCUAUUUAUGCACACACUCACUUUGUAUUUCUUGCUUGUAUUUAUUUAGUAUUUUUGGAUCUCUGUUUAUAUGUGAGAUUGAGUCAUCUUCUGUCCUUGUCUGGCUUCGACAUCAGGAUUAUAAUGGCUUUAUAAAAUAUGUUGGGGAAUUUUUUCUGCUUUUCUGUUCCCUAGAAUGGUUAUUUGUCAGGGGUUAUUUCUUUCUUGAAUUUCUGGAAAAAACUGUCUGCAAAAUCUUCUGGAGCUAGUACUGCCCGUGGUGUAUUUUUGACUAUUGAGUUCAUUUCCCGCCACCACCCCCCUCCCCCCGCCCCAUUACUGGUUGUAGGUUUAUUCGGUGUCAAUUUCUUCUUUGUUAAUUUCCAUAAUUUAUGCUUUCUAAAAACUGUGCAGUGUAUCUAAGGUUUCAAAUAUAUUGGCCUAAACGUUGUUCAUGUGAUUAUCUCAUGAUUUUUAAAUAUUUGCUUUUUCAGUUUCAAUGUCUCUUUUCAUAUCUAGUACUGUUUAUUUCUGCCUCUUAAGAAAAAAUCAUUCAUGCCAGGAGUUUGUCUGUUUAAUUACUUUCCUGAAACAACCAGCUUUUCAUUUUGUUGAUCAGAUGACCAACCAUUCACUUCUGACACCAUCACAAGAGUAAUUUUUAGGAAACCCAAAUGCACGUUUGAAGACCCACGCUGGGCUCGCCACCCCACAACCAGCCUCUAUCUUCUUCACCAGCUCCUCUCGCCGCACUGAGCCCCCAUCUUCUCUCCCCUCCAACAACAUCAGAUUCCUUCGGGGCCCCAAAAUGUCAGCUCAUUUCAUGCUCUGUAUCUUUGCACAGACUUUUCUUUUUCUCCCCCCCUCCCUCCAAGCCCCCACGCUAUUCAUUUGGUCCAAGUCUUUAAGUUCCAUCUCAAGUUUUCCUCCUUUGCACCGAUCUUGUACCUUUCUUGCAUUCCUAUUUUUGCCUUCACUUCUGGACCACGAAAUCCUUGAGGGUAGGUGCAAUCUAUUUUUCAUCUUUAUUAUGGGCACUCUUAACUUCUUUUUCUUACCCCCGUAUCACUCCUUUUACAAACAAGAAGCAUAAACAGCACAGACGAGAUUACACUGUGUCUUUUCCCUCUAUUUUAAGAAAGGUUAGCAUCCAAACCACUCCAUGUGAGAUACCAGCUAAAUUAACAUCCCUCUUCCUCCCUUGUCAACAUGCACUUAGCAUUGACCCACCUAUUUGCUAACACCUUUAAUCUUGAGAUUUUUUAAGGCAAUAUUUAUGUCUGGUUAGUUCCAAACUGCUUUAUGUCUGGACAUCUCAAUGCACUUCAAAUGCCAGACCAGAUCUGAAUUGGGCUGUCUGAUGUCUUCCUCGUUGAGAGUUUACUUAUAAAAUUAUGCACUGUUUAAUGAAAAGGGAUGAUCGUGUUUCACGAGCAAGCCCCCAACUUUCCUAUUGAGGCAAAAUAUUGCAGGUAGGUAAUCCAAAGAAAUCCCCAUUCUAGCUCAUAGUUUUUCUCACUGAGGAACUUAUACUUGAUAACAGUCAACCUAGAUUUGCAUACACCAAAUAGGAUGCUAUUUAAAAGAUGCUAUGUAAAACCACUUCGGCUGAGUGGUUCCCAAGCUCAGGAGUUAGGAAGCCUGGCCUUGACCCCCAGCCAUACCCCUUCACAGCCCAGCGGGGACUUCAACCCCUGAAAGUCUCGAUAGUCAAAGAGUAAUGAUCAUACAGUGACCAAAUAGUGAUGAUUUAGGGCUAAAUCAUAGCGUUCGCAAGGAAAUGCCUUGUGCGUUUCCCAGAGCACAGUAGUCUGGAGCACUGCAUUUCAGUUUGAACUUGCACGAGGAGAAGUCACAACUAAGCCUACCGUGCAAAUGGUGAUUUCUCAUUGACAACACUAUUACCCAGGCAUUCAGCAUUAGCCGAUUUAAAGAAAAUCCCGCUUUCCUUGAGGCUCCGUUUGCUUUCUAAACUUUCUGGCCCCGACCAACACCCUUUGCUAAUCCAUUUUAUUUUCCUUGUUUUCCUCCAGGGACGACGGAUCGGACGUUGGGAUUUGGAAGCCCGGCAUUCUACGCUGAGCGCAAACAGACCACCGAGUCGGGGCAGCUGGCCCCGCGAUGCUCUUUGGUGAAUGGUUUUGCGUCACCCCGAAGUCAGAGCGUCCCUGUCCUUGCUCUGCCUGCUCGGCACUAACCUGGCCACGCUUAUCACCCCAAAUCGGGACAUCGAGUUUUCCACUUGCGAGAAGACUCCAGCUCACGAAGUGCCUCUCUCCCUCUGUGAAGGCGAGUAACCAAGCCGAAAUGUUCAGCCAAAAAAAGCGUUUGCCGACAUCGCUUUAAAGUAAUCAUCUCCCCUCAAGGCCGGCCGCUCUUUCACAGGCACCCCAUCCUGCCGCUGGGAAAGCAAACCUUUUCUGCGCUCAUUCUGGGCCUCCACCAGAACGGUCCGGUAACUGAAAGUCAUUUUGGGUUUUGGUCACCCUCCGGGCUACGGGCCCAUUACCCAUCCACUGUGCUACCGAAAUCCGGGGUGAGGAGAGGUCCCGGGGGAGAUGUGAAGAGCCAGCGGCUGGCUUUGGCCUGAGCAGCUGAGCCUUGGCCUGCGGCCUUGGCUCCCUUGCCCCCAGGACUGAUAGAGCCUGUGCAUGUCUGUCCCCACGGCUUCUCUGUGUUCUUGGGGCCCGGGUGGACUGGUGUGGGACAGGAGGAGAGUGAGGGGGACCUGAGCCCCAUCCGGGGUCUCCAUGCUUCCAGUCUGCCUCAAGUUGUCCGGGAAAGGCUGACCCAUAUUCCACAUACCAGCUCUGAGCAGGACACAUCUGCUCACUCCUCCUCCCCUUCCUCCUCCUGUUCUCCCUCCUCCCCCUCCUCCUCCUUCCUCGGCCAACAGGGCAGCCAGACCUGCAUACCCGGUCUCUCUCGUCAGCCUGCUGGCAUGAUGGGGCUCAAGGGGGCCACCAGGGGGUGAGCACCCCCAGUCUGAACCUCCUGGCCUUCCCCCAUCGCGUGCCCUCCAGGAGCACGGCAGUAACCAGAAGGGUACGGAAAAGUCCAUCUCUUGGGCUUGUUCACAAUUAUUUCCUUCCAGCCUUGGUUUUUGGAAUGCUUUGCUGCGUUUCUUUUGAGUGGGCAGAUGGCAGGAUGCUGGGGGUGUAAAACAGCUAUGAAAAACAAGAUGAUUCCGACAGAAGGAGUAUGUACAGCCCCUGCUGGACCAUCCCAAUAUUAAUCAGGAGAACUGGCCUUUUGUUUUUGUUUUCGUUUUUUCCCCUGGGAUCUUUAAAGUUUGCGUGCCUUCUCUCUGCUUUCCAAAAAAAAAAAAAGGAUAAUACGUAAAUGCACCACUUUAAGGGCUUCAGCUGGGAAAGCUGGUGUCAUUUUUGGGAUUCAGUUUAUUGCGAGGAUGAGCUCGAGCUGAAGGACCUUAGAGCAAGACCCGUGGCUUCGGGGAGGAACGCGAAAAUGGAGCUUCGGGAGAGAAAAGCCGACGGCGGGUCACCAGCGCUGGUGCCCGUCCGUGGUGCAGGAGCCGUGCCUGAAAGAGAUAAUUUCAAGUUGAGCUGUGGUUUACCGCGGUGUCCUCGUGAUCGGCUGAGUGGUCAGAUGUCAGGGGUGACUGAAAAUAAGUUCAUUUUCCCACAGUGAGAGAAAAAAGAAGAAGGAGGGGGAAAAAAAAAAGGAACAGCCCUGCCCGUAUGAAACAAAUACUUGCACAUUUCAGAGUCUGGCCGGAGCAGGCUUGAACGUGCACCAUCACGCAUGUGACUUUUGUGAAGCCAGCCGGGGAAGAAACGACAAUUAUUGCCCUGGAUUAGCCUAACACGUUACCCCUCCCCCGCCACCCCCGUUGAGCACAGACGGUCUUUCACGGGGCGAUCGCUGCGCCCCACUGUUGGGCCAACUCGGAAGAUCUUUGGGGAAACGAGGGUGGCGCGUCUAUGUCAUUAUGUCGCCGGUGGGGAUAAGGGAAGGACGGGUGGAGCGUCUGGUGAUCCCACCCCGCGAUCCUACCCGACCCUCUGGUGCCUCCGGGCUUUAUGAAGGUGCGCGAGCUGGGUGUGCGUGAGUGCUCUGGGACUCAAAGUGUUAAAGUGGCCUCUGCAAUGGCGAAAAACGGCUUAACCGCAGACUCAUCCUGUGUUGGCCUAGUUGUGUGCUUCUGUGUGUGUGUGUGUGUGUGUGUGUGUGUGUGUAAUUUUUUCUUCCUUUUCAAAUACUAUUCUCUUUCAUGAUCUCAUUUCCUAAAAUGUCUCCUUUCUGAUUCAGUGAGAGGGAUUCCAUGGUUCACCACCCGGCACAGGGUACUUCCUUCCAUCACAGAUACCAGAAAAGCACUGAAGAUCUCAAAGGUGGAAACGCAGAGCAUCAAAGCACCGAUCCGAAGGCCAGAGGCUUGAUUUGGAAAUCACACACCGGGCAGCCGCAAACCCCGCGUCCCGAUGCCUUUUCUUUUCUCUUGUCCUUUUGUUCCUAAUGCAAUGCAUUCUGACCCCAUCUCUUCCAUCCCACUGAGCCCGCAGCACCUUGAGCGGUUCAGUGGCCGUAAACUCCCCUGCCGACUCUGUUUUGGCUGGAAUCGCAACCCACAUAUGGGAGAAUCCUGCCGAAACAUCACAGAGCUAACAGCGCGCCUCCGUGCAGUGGUGGCCGGUCAGCAGAAAAAGGUGACAUCAUGGCUAUUCCAGGACUUCAGGUCCGCAGCACAAAGUGACUUCCCUGCUCUACAUCAGAGUCAGAACUUGGAUUCGAGACAAAAACAACCCUCCCUUCCCAUAAAUAUCUGCUUGGGGGCUCAAGACUAUUCGAAGCGCAACGGCUCAGAAAUGGUCCCUUUCCGUGGAGACCCGUCUGAUUUUCCAAAUCCAAUCACAAACUUUUUAAUAGCAUGUCAUGAACCUCUCAGCUCAUUAUUUCUCUUCAAAGCCCUCCGGUUUGCCAGCUUAGAGCCUGUCAAGUGUUGUUUGAUGAUGGACUACGCCAUAAAUAAACGCAUAGGACAUGCUAGAAAUCCACCCUUCACUACUUCUGGCUUUCCCGCCAGGAAUACUGCCAUAUAAUCAGGGAUGUGUGAUUUGUGGCAAUUGCUCUGGAUCGAGGGUUGUUUUUUUUUUUAACGUGUCCAGUGUGUAAUGUAGGUAAUAUAACAGAUUUAUCACCUUUACAUAAAUCCCAUUUGUUUUUCCCCUUCCUGUUCCUUCUACCCCCUCUCACGGUUAGGACGUUGGAGCAAAGAGUAGGAAUAUAGACAAACCCUCUGAAAUAGCAAUCACGGCCUUACCCCUUCCUUCCAGCAGGAAAUCAAGGCACUGGAUAAGUUACUACACCUCUAAUAUCCACUGUUCCCUCCGAUGUUUUUAAGUUGUGAGCAGACAACCAUUUUACAUGGGUAACUGGCCAUGAAGGUCAGCACCAGCAGGGAGGUUACUGUUGUAAUCAAAUAAAGCUCAUAGACGCU